GGGGAGCGGGAGUGAGGGCUCGUGCAGAGCCCCCCCACACAGCGUGGGGCAAUGGUGGGCAGCGAGGAGCAGCAGGGAUCGUCCCCUGCAUGGCAGCACCUGCUGAGCCAGGGCUUUUUUUCCCCACAAGUGCUGGGAGCUGGGGCAGGCGGGGCAGCCAUUACCGGGCUGGGAGAGGGGCGGGGGAUGGGCCUGGCCUGGCUGAUUCAGAGAUUCAGAUUCAGCUCCUGCUGAAUUUCUGAAUCAGAUUUGGCCGAAUCGAAUCACUGUCCCCCGAAUUGUCCAAAUCCAAAGCGAAUACUAGCCACUUCACACAGGCCUUAUAGCUAUAGCUGACUGCUUAUUAUUUUAUGACUUUAUUUACAGAUAAAGUAAUUGAACUAUAAUAAUUUACUAUUACAGUGCAUUCGAUUAUGCUAUAUUCAACUAUUAAUAAUUUAUAUUAUAUUAUAUAGUGAUGUCUGCAUAUUUAUUUACAUAUUGAUAUAAUUUAUUAUAUGGCUUACAUAUAGUUGUGUUUAAUUGUAUUCUAUUUUUAUAUUAGAUUGCUAUCAUAAUGUAUUAAUUAUUAUUUGAUGGAUUUAUUAUUGAUGAAUAAUAAAUGAAUUGAUGAAUUAUUGAAUUAUUAAAACUCAGCAUUAUCAUUGUAUGCAAUGAUUAUAUUCAAUUACAGUAAAAGUUCUGUUAACCAGAACCUUAAAAGCCAGCAUGCUCAAUUAACCAGAAUGCCAGCUUGUAAGAUAAAGUGAAGCCGGAAGUGCCCACUGUGGCACUUCUGGUUUCUCUGAGCCCCCACGGCCCAGUGGUAUAACAAGCUGUGUGGGGCUGUGCGGGUCCCACCUUCCUGUCCCACAGUGCCUACAUGAGGGGUGGUGAUGCCAUGGGAGGGGCGGCGGGGUUACCCAGAUGUGGCAGGAGAAGCGGUGGCCCGGGCUGCUCAGUUAACUGGCAUAUUUUGUUAUCCAGCAUCCCCCAUUCCUGGGGAAUGUUGGAUAAUAGAGAUUUUACUGUAAUAUAAUGUAUACAGAACAUAUAGAAUAUAAAUGUACAAUGUAUUAUAUAUACAGACAGACAGACAGACACAUUAUAUUGUGCAUCUUAAUGAUUCUCAAUCAGGGUGCCACAGCACCCUACGAUGCCUUGAGAUCCUUUCCAGGGUGCCACACAAUGUCAGCACUGUUAAAUGUGCAGAUAUGAUUCACAAGAUAAACCCAGAGAUUUCAAAGAGGAACCCACACUGUUAAAAAAAUAAUAAUAAAAAACGCCAAACUAUCUGCCCUGUUGUGAUCUUCCUAAGUUCUCUGAAACAGAAAACCUGCUCUACUAUGCGUUUCUAUAGUCAAAAAAUUAGUGGAAAACAGUUAAGGCACCCAUCAGAAAUGUCAGAAGUCUCAAGAGGUCAAGAACCAUUAGUAUACAUAUAUUACAGUGUAUGGUAUAUAUAUGUUGCAUCAUAAAAGUAUAUAUGAUUAGAUAUUAUCGUUACAAUUGCUGAAUUAUUAUUUGAUUAAUGCAUUUUUUUUAUUUUAUGUAUGUAUUCUAAUAGGGGAUAGAUCACUCUAGAUAUAUCCAGUGCAAUGCUUCCCCUCUAUAGUAUCCACCCCGGCACUGUCAGGGACAGGAUACUGGGCUAGAUGGACCACUGGUCUAACCUAGUCUGGCCCUUUUUAACAGGUGUUGGUGCCACCCAGAAGCUACAGGGUUAAAAAACUUUUUUAUUAUCAAAUUAAAGGGGGGGGGAGGGGAGUCAAUGCAUUAACCCAAGGAGAGAGGGAAUGAGGCUAGGCUGUAGCAGGUAAGUGGUGAGAAUUGUGUCAGUGGGGAGUAGGGAGAGAGGAAAGAGUGACCAAAGAGCAAGGAGAAGACAACCAAAGGAUGAGAAACCAGUGAGUCGAUUAAGAGGGAUGAGGACAGGGUGAAUAGGGAGUCAAUACAGUUGAGAAGGGUCCAAUCAUAGUUAAGUCAUGGCUGGGAUGGAAGCCUAGAGCAAGGGGUGGAAUAAGGCAUGAGUAAGGGGUGAGGUUGAGUAGAGAAUGAGGAAGGAGUGAGUAGGAGUAAAGAAAGGCUAGACUGGAGUUGGAAAAUGGUGAGGUGGCAAACAAACAGGGAGGAGGGAACAAGGAAAGGACAAAUGAGGAGAGGGUAGAAGACGACUAAAGGGUAAGUGGAAAGGGGUAGAUGGAGAGCAACUUGUGGGAACAGGGCAAGGGAAAAAGAAAAAAAGGGGAGUGAGGAGUAAUCAUCCCUCAUUUUGCAGACUUAGUGGUGCCUUUGACCAAAAUAGUAAAGGCAGCAGCUCAAAAGGUGAGGGAUGCACUAUGUACGCAGCCACUACUAUAUACACCAGACUUCAAUAAACCAUUUGUGGUAUUGACAGAUGCGUCCAACUGGGCUAUUGGUGUGCUGUUGUUCCAAAUGGAGGAAGGAGAAGAAUGUCCAAUAGCAUACAUCAGUAGAAAGUUACACCCUCCGGAAAGAAAUUAUACUAUAAUAGAAAAGGACUGUUUGGCCAUCAAAUGGGCCAUAGAAACACUCCGAUAUUAUCUGUUAGGUCGGAAAUUUACGUUAAUCGUGGGCCACGCUCCGCUGUGAUGGCUACAGGGUAUGAAGACUGAUAACGCUAGGCUGAUGAGAUGGGGCAUUAGUCUCCAACCAUACUGCUUUGAGGUGGAGCAUUGUCCCAGGACUAAGAAUGUAAGUGCUGAUUUUUUGUCAAGACAAUAUGAAGAGGAAAAGGGUCCAGAGGAGAAGGGAAGACCCCAGACAAAAGAGAAGAGGGGGGGGUGUAACAGGGGACCCUAGCCCUGUCACCAGAAGGCAUGUCUGCCCCUUUAAGGCCAGAACUUAAACUCUAACGGAGUGCUGGGAAAGAAGGGGUUAAAUGAUGAGCCUGGCCAGCUAGUCAGCUGACUAGAAGGGGUAGGACUAUAAAAACCCUGGGCAGAGUGGCAGUUUGUGGGGAGUAGCUGAAGAGAAAGGAGUGGUCUAAAGACAGGAAGAGGGGAACCAUGGAAGCCCCGGAGAGACAGCAGCCACAUCACAGCAAGGAUGUGAGCUGAUGGCAGGGAGCUGAAGCACAGACCCUGUGAAUGGUUCAGCCUUGACGAUAAAAACUGGAUCCAACUGCCUGGCACACCCAACACAUUCCAGGAAAGCACGUCCCAAGAAGCAUAUUCAGAGAAACCUAAAAGGGUUGGGUUUAGGUGGAUUAAUGUCAAUUUCAAACCUAAAGGUGCUGCAUUGUAAUUUGCUUAUUGGAUAAACCCGAGUCUAGGUAGUAACCUUUUAUAAUAAUUUUUAACACCUUUCAAUCCCAUAGGGUAACACCUAUAGGGCAAGAUUGUGAGUGGCUCCAAAACCAACAGAUUAGCAUAAAACUAGGUAUAAAAAAAGUGCGUGCGUCAGGUGACUAGCAGGAAGGAGGGAACAGAACGGUCAUUGCUGUUCCAAGCCCGGACUCCCGGCGUGAGUGAGGAUCGGAUCCUGAUCAAGGGAUCUUCCCCGGUAAUCCCUCCCACAGCGUCGAGGGGGACUCCUGACUUUGCUGGAAUCACUUGGUGCACACCUGGCAUCAAGGGACUGUUGAUAAAUUGCCAACCCAUGUCUGUCUAUCUGUUGUUUUGAACAGCCCAGUGGCUGAUACCUUCGCAGUGCCCAAUUGGCCUGUGACAGAAUUGAUCCAUCUAUCUGUUGUUAUUAUUUACUAUUGGCUCUUUAAUACUGCAUUAUCUGCUUAUCGCAUUUAUCUUUCUGUUAACUGUUGUGCGCGUGUAAGCUAUAAUAAAUUUGCCUUCACUUCA